rnacentral:rRNA from 1 species
UGGGGAAUCUUGCGCAAUGGGCGAAAGCCUGACGCAGCGACGCCGCGUGGGUGAUGAAGGCCUUCGGGUUGUAAAGCCCUGUGGGGAGAGACGAAUAAGUCGGAGCCAAUACCUCCGGCGAUGACGGUACCUCCUUAGCAAGCACCGGCUAACUCUGUGCCAGCAGCCGCGGUAAGACAGAGGGUGCAAACGUUGUUCGGAAUUACUGGGCGUAAAGCGUGUGUAGGCGGCCGCGCAAGUCGGAUGUGAAAUCCCCGGGCUCAACCCGGGAAGUGCACCCGAUACUGCGUGGCUCGAGUACCGGAGAGGUUGGUGGAAUUCUCGGUGUAGAGGUGAAAUUCGUAGAUAUCGAGAGGAACACCGGUGGCGAAGGCGGCCAACUGGACGAGUACUGACGCUGAGACACGAAAGCGUGGGGAGCAAACAGG